UCAGGGCACUCACACACAUAGCGUGCACAUGCACACACACAGACCCACUGCCUCUCACUCAUUGAACUUGACUGCUGCUUGCUUGGUGCCUGACCCUGUGCAAGGUACGGACAACCAACAGAUAUCCCAGACUUGAUGCUACCCUUUUGAGAGAUGGGAGAACUGGAUGCCUCCACAGAUUAUGACGAUACAGGAAGACUAUCACUGUCCCAGAGGGCUGUACACAGACCCGAAGACCAGAGCAGAAGCAGCUCAUUCUGCCAGGAAGGCUACUGGCUGUGAAACAGGGUGAGAGACGUGCUGACGUAGGAUGGAGAGAAGAGCCUAGAAGGCCUGGCGUGGGAAGAAGAUACAGCAACUUCAGGGGAAAGGCAGAGCGUGUUAGCGGGACUUAUGUACAGAGAAACGAGACACCAAGGCUUUUACCAGGAAGCAGCGUUUAUUCGCUGGGGCACUGGCUCAGCAGGUUAGCAUUCAGAGGCUGAGCCCCGAACGGAGCGGGAUGCCGCUUUAUAUACCCCACUUGUUUUCCCACUACGUCUGUUUCUUUGUCCCCCCUUAUCAGGUAUACUAUUAAUUUGGGGCACACAGCUAUAGAUGCGCCUGCGCUCAUGGAUAUAGGUUAUACUACAUUACUAUAGAACUACGCAUGCGCGCACAGCUCUCGGAGGCGCCUUCCCUUUGAUCUAGGAGGGCCCGGCCCCCACCCACUACAUCGGGGACGCAAUUUCCCUUUCUAAGGGGACUGGAUGCUCCCAGAUGCAAGAGUCAGUGACUGGAGUCCGACUGGGGCAGGCCAGGGUCCCUUUGUGCAGAGCCCGGAGCGGCCGUCACAGGCAGUGGGAACCCGAGGGCCAGGUAGGACGCAAGUGCUGAAGGGAACUUAAGGGUCAUAACAUCCAACUUUUGGGGCUUACAGAAGGGCACCAGUUGCCCAAGGUCCCAGGAUGGAUUGAGGGCAAAGCCAGGACAACUAACUCCAGACCACCUGAUUUGGCUUCUCCUCACAAGAAGCCCCGAUUGGGAGAUGCAGGAGCAAAAAAAGCAGGGAACUGGGGAGACUGACUCCCUGAUCCCUGAGGGGUGGGGAGGGUAGAGGUGACAAGCAUGGAGAUGGUGAUACACUGCGUAAGCCCAGCCAGAGUGCCUUCCUCUCCUCUCUCCCCGGAACUGGUGAUCUGGGAGGUUUACUGUUGCCCUUCUUAUCUUCCUGUAGGUGCUCCAAUUAGACCCCUAGCCUGGGAACUUCCACAUGCCACCUGUGUGGUCUUAAAAAGACAAAAAAAAAAAAAAAAAAAAAAAGGCAUGCAUCUCUAGCUCAGACAUCUUUUAAUAUUGAUACUGUAAUAAAGACAAUCAUCUCUGUUUCUGCCGUCUGCUGACUAUCCUGGGGUUGCUCACGGAAAGCAGUCCAGGCGAUGUUGCAUUAUAAUCCUCUUUCUUCUUCAUUUCACAAGAGGCCCUGAGAGCUCUGGGUCGACAGUGCCUGACAGGUGCUGGCACAACGCCAUGGCAACAACUGACCAAGCAGUUUCUCUGGAGCAGACAGCCUGGGUCCAAAUCGCAGCCUCCUUGCUAGCUGUGUGAUCUCAGACAGGUGACUUAACUUUUCUGUGUCUCAGUGUCCAUGUUUGUAAAAUGGCAAUGUCACAAUAUCCAUCUUAUGAAGUUGUCAAGACUAAAAGAGUUAAUAUUUAUAAAGUCUUAGAAGAUGAUGGAACAUGAUAGUGUAUGAAAAUAGAAUGUGUACAUGUAUGUGUAACUGGGUCACCAUGCUGUACAGUAGAAAAAAAAAAGUUGUAUUGGGGAAAUAACUAUUAAAAAAAUUGAAAAUAAAUAAAUAAAUAAAAAAUAAAGUCUUAGAAGUGCCUAGCAUGUGGUAACUGUU